CCUACGGGAGGCAGCAGUGGGGAAUAUUGCACAAUGGGGGAAACCCUGAUGCAGCGACGCCGCGUGAGUGAAGACGUAUUUCGGUAUUUAAAGCUCCUUUAGCAGGGAAGAAAAAAGACGUUACCUUACUAAGAAGCCCCUGCUAACUCCGUGCCAGCAGGCGCGGUAAUACGUAGGGGGCAAGCGUGAUCCGGAUUUUCUGGGUGUAAAGGGAGCGUAGGCGGUGCGGCAAGUCUGAAGUGAAAGGCAGGGGCUUAACCCCUGAACUGCUUUGGAAACUGCCAUGCUAGAGAGCUGGUGCGGUAGGUGGAAUUUCUAGUGUAGCGGUGAAAUGCGUAGAUAUUAGAAGGAACACCAGUGGCGAAGGCAGCUUACUGAGCAGUAUCUGACGUUGAGGCUCGAAAGCGUGGGGAGCAAACAGGAUUAGAUACCCUGGUAGUC
rnacentral:rRNA from 1 species